UACGUAGGGUGCGAGCGUUGUCCGGAAUUAUUGGGCGUAAAGAGCUCGUAGGCGGUGUGUCGCGUCGGCCGUGAAAACCUGCAGCUUAACUGUGGGCUUGCGGUCGAUACGGGCAUCACUGGAGUUCGGCAGGGGAGACUGGAAUUCCUGGUGUAGCGGUGAAAUGCGCAGAUAUCAGGAGGAACACCUGCGGUGUAGACGGCUUACUGGACGGUAACUGACGCUGAGGCACGAAAGCGUGGGUAGCAAACAGG
rnacentral:rRNA from 1 species